AUUGAACGCUGGCGGCAUGCUUUACACAUGCAAGUCGAACGGUAACAGGCCUUCGGGUGCUGACGAGUGGCGCACGGGUGAGUAAUGCAUCGGAACGUACCCAGAGGUGGGGGAUAACGCAGCGAAAGCUGUGCUAAUACCGCAUGUGAUCUGAGGAUGAAAGCGGGGGACCGAGCAGCAAUGUUUGGCCUCGCGCCUUUGGAGCGGCCGAUGUCGGAUUAGCUAGUUGGUGGGGUAAAGGCCUACCAAGGCGACGAUCCGUAGCUGGUCUGAGAGGACGACCAGCCACACUGGGACUGAGACACGGCCCAGACUCCUACGGGAGGCAGCAGUGGGGAAUUUUGGACAAUGGGCGCAAGCCUGAUCCAGCAAUGCCGCGUGCGGGAAGAAGGCCUUUGGGUUGUAAACCGCUUUUGGCAGGAACGAAACGGUGUCCGCUAAUACCGGGCGCUAAUGACGGUACCUGCAGAAUAAGCACCGGCUAACUACGUG
rnacentral:rRNA from 1 species